CCCACUCCAGUGUUCUUGCCUGGAGAAUCCCAGGGACGGGGGAGCCUGGUGGGCCGCCGUCUAUGGGGUCGCACAGAGUCGGAAACGACUGAAGCGACUUAGCAGCAGCAGCAGCAAGCUGGGUGUUGGUUACAGCAUCUCCCUGUGAGAUGGGAUCAUCAUACCCAUUUCAGAGGGCAGGAAAGUGAGGCUUCAGAGGUUAGGUAAAGAGCCCAGGCUUAGCUAGAAAUGGGGGCAGUGGGAUUUAAGUGGUAAAAUGCUGUGAAAGGAAAAUGGCAUCAUUUUGGGGUUAUGAUCUUUGGAGUAGAAAAUAAAACUUUAGAGCUUCCCUGGUAGCUCAGUGGUAAAGAACCUGCCGGCUAAUGCAGGAGACAUGGGUUCCAUCCCUGAUCUGGGAAGAUCCCACAUGCCAUGGAGCAUCUAAGCCCAUGUGCCACAACUACUGAGCUUGUGCUGUAGAGCCUUCGAGCUGCAGUGACUGAAACUCAUUUAUCUAGAACCUGUGCUCCUCAACACAAGAAACCAUUGCGAUGAGAAGUCCACAUACCACUAGAGAGUGGUUCCCACUCACUGCACCUAGAGAACAGCCCGUGUAGCAACAAAGACCCAGCGAGCCAAAUAAAUAAAUACAUAAAAUUAUUUUAAGAAAAAACAAAAAUUUAAAUCCCAAUUUUGUACUUGCCAAGCACUUCAUAUUUAUUAUUUUUGUUACUCUUUUCAAAUAAUCCUAUAAAGUAAUUUCCCCCUGUUUUGCACCUGAGAAACGGGUUCCUCAGGAAGGGGAAGGUUUGUAUGAAAAUCUACUCAGGGAAUAGGUGCUGGAGCUAGGCUCUGAAUCCAGUCUGGCUGUUCCCAGGGCUAGUAUUCUUUGGAAUCUCGCUUCCUGGAACCGAUUCCAGGGGCCUCUUUGAGGGCACAGGACUCUUCUCUGGGCCCAGGGCUUUUUUUUUUGCUGUCUCUUGAUUCUCAGAGUGGAGCUAACAUUUUCGGUAAACCAGUCCCAGGUGCCCAGGCCCAGAUCCAGGACGAUUUCGUGGGAAAGGCUGCCACCUUGUGGCCAGACAGCGAGCAUGUACCAGGAGGAAGCAAGGGUUUAGGAGGGUGGGGCUUGGGCAACAGGUGAGGUCAGUCUCUGGAAAGACUCCAGCUGGUGCAGACUUGGUUUUGGAGGGCUGCCCCGCAGUUGGAGGGCCAGCUUGGGCCUCAGAGGGAGGGUUCAGGCUUCCCAGCAGCGUCAGGAUGGAUGGUGAGGCUUGGCUGUGGGCACACUGGAUCAGAAUUUUCCUGCAAAGUCCUGACGUGAGCCCAUCAGAGGAAUCCUGAAGGUAAGCCUAGGUUAGACUUCUCCUUCAGCCCUUCUGAGGCACUGGUUCUUUUAGCUGUGUGGAGAGGCCAUGUUGGUGUCUGUGACACUUUCCCUGCAGGACACCCUCUGAGCUUCUGGACUGAAUCCUGCCUGAGCUCGACCCUGUACCGACACUGUCCCCAGCUCUGAGGGAGAUACAGAGCCUCCUCCUUCCUCCAAAACCUAAUCCUGUGUCUCCUCGUCAUCUGGGCUGUUACACGGGGGCUGAUGCAGCCUCCCAGACUCAGUUCUUUCUGCUUCUCUCCUCUCUCCACUUUGCUAGUCAAAGGAUUUCCUAGUAAUAUUUUUCACCAGGUGCAAGAGCCUUGCGCUUCCCUGGUGGCUGAGACAGUAAAGAAUCCGCUUGCCAAGCAGGAGACGCGGAUUCAAUCCUGGAGUCGGGAAGAUCCCCUGGAGAAGGGAAUGGCAACCCACUCCAGUAUUCUUGCCUGGGGAAUUCCAAGGACAGAGGAGCCUGGUGAGCUACAGUCCAUUGAGUCGCAAAGAGUCAGACACGUCUUAACUACUAAACAACAAGAGCCCCACUGCACACUCCUCGCAGUAUGGAAGAGGACGUUGGGUUUCUUAGCCUGGUCUUCCUUCCUGCCUCACUCUGACAUCGAUGUCUGAGGCCAGGUACCUCCUGUUAAGGCUCCAAUCAGUACUUCUCCCCUGGCUGCAGGUUCGCAUCACCUGGGAACUUCAGAAUCGGCCCCUGGCAGCCACGCCCCCUCAAGAUCCUGCUCUGAUUGGUCUGGGCCCUGGAGGUUGUGGGCGUGUUCAGAGAGCUCCACAUGGCUGGGAGGGUCCUCGUGCGUAGCCAUUGCUCUGUCCUUUGGCAAGUUCUCCGCGGUCAGCUUAUGACUUUCUUCUCACUCCUGGAACCUAUUUCUUAGUCCGGGUAGCCCUCUCACCUUCUCUUCCCCACGUUCUCGUCCCUUCCAAGCUUCUGACGGUGCCCGGGAAGACCCUGUGCUUGGUGACUGGGAAUGUCGACGAACGACUGAAUGGACAGCCAGACUCCAUGUUGCUGAGAUCUCCGAGCCUUUCCGAAAAGCCGUGAGCAGCGUCCUGAGAUUCUGAGGAGGAGGAAGAAGGUGGAGCCAAAGAUGGAAGGAGCCUGGGGCGCCCACUGGGGCAGAGCCAUUCCUACUGCUGGCCCACAGUGGACAACUAUACAAAGGGCAGACUUUGGGAAGUAGUUUCCCCAUGUGGAAUCUCCCUCCAGAAUGUUUUGAUCUCACCAAGCACACGCCUGUCACAAGGAGGCUCGUAAAAAACCCCGAGAAAAGGAAACGCUGUCGUCAAAAUGGCCCUGCUGGGCCCAUAACGGAUGACUCUAACUUAGCUUGAGGGGCAGCGUGGGGAGCCGGUGAAUCGAGAAACUGCAAAGAAGAAAUUAACACUGAGCUGGGUCCCCUCCCGGAAGUGGCACUGAAGCACAGGAGGAGAGACCUCAGUUAGACUUAGAGCAGAACCCUUGCCUCUUCUGCUUUAAGUCUGGGAAACCCUGAAAAGAUUCGUGAGGGAGGAGGGGGAGAGAGUCUCCUUGUCUGGCAGCAUUGAAAAGCAGAACUCCCCGCUUGGAGAGUUGAGCUGUUCACCCACCCAGAGGAGAAGCCUGGCCUGGUUGACAUCUUCAUUUCCUUUCUGGGUCAGUCCUCUAGGAUUUAAAAAGCAGCUCUCCCCAGCUCCCAUACAACAUGACUCUGUGCUACGUUGGGAUCAGGGCUGGAGCAGACAGAACAACUUGCUAUCAAUUUAAUGUUAGCUUAAAUAAUGCAUAAUUAGAAGGUUAAGCCUCUGCAAACACGUUAAAUAAUGUAUUCCCCAAGCAAACACGAUUUGGUGAUGAUGUGCUAUUUUGGAUGGUGGUGAGGUGGAAAGGUGGAAGAGACCUGGAUCUGAGCUGCAUUGUUGAUAUGGAUCGUUUUUGUCAUUAUAAAGUAGAACCUUCCCUGGUCAUGCCGUGGUUUCCUUAUCUGUCAUGGCCUGUGAACUUCUGGUGGGUAGAGGCUUUAGCUUAAGUUUCUCAGAGUCUCUAUUAUUUUGGAAAGUGCUUGGUGCUUGACAAGCAUUUGUGAGUAAGGGGACGGAAUUAGACUGGGUAUAAGCGUGUUAGAUCUGGGCUCUAACGUGAAAAACUGAGACAAGAAAAUGUGAGCAGGACACUUGUGACCUCCAAAUAUCUGAAAGGCUGUCUUCAUUCUAAACAGUGAUAGUCAUUCUGGGAGGAACCCUCGAGUCCUGGAAUGAACACAGAUGAGAGGGGGUGGAUUUUCAGGAUGUCAAUUUAAAAUCACAUCCAUUAGUUGAGCAUUUCCUGAGCACCUACUAUGUAUGCUUGUUGAUGUGAUCCAUACUUAAAAUAGAGCAGAACAGUUAGGGCCCCUGCCCUUGUGAGCUUACAGGUCAGAGGAGGAUAAAGACAUACAAACCGACAGUGGAACACGUGUGUGGUUGUGAGCGGAAACACAGGAAGGCACUAUGGAACGGAGGAGGGACAGACUCAGAACUGAGCUGACAAGGACAGCAGCCCAGAGAACGUGCUGCCUCGGGUGUGGGGUCGGGGUCCCAGAGUAUGAGAGUUCAACAGGUGAGGGCAGGAGGUGGGUUAGGGAGAAUAUUCCAGAUGCAGUGGUCAGGAAGUGGAAGCUUGAGUGGUUAGCAGGGGCCCUGCGCGGGUGUCAGAGAACUUCACUUCUGAUGGAGGUGGAGGCAGGUGGUCCCUGGGGAGGCAUGUGGCACAGAGGACAGGUGUCUGAUGUGGAGGCUCAGCCUAGAUGACCUGAAUGGGGCUUGUACUUGUCAUCCUUCAACCUGAACUUCUGGAUGUCGAGUAUGCCGUAUGUCUCUUUAGCCUCUAAGAAGAAAGGAAGACGGUGCAGCCUAUGGAUGAAUGCUCCUUUGCAUUCAACAGUGGGAAGAUACUGCAGCUUGCAACUCUACAGAUACCAGCAGAGGAAGAAAAACAUGGGCGACUGCUGAUAACCUAAUGUGGAGAAUUAAACCCCAACUAAACAAAGGAAGCCUUCCCUGAUGCCUGCAGGGUGGAUGAGAGCUCCUCCUCUGUGAUCCCACCAAGCCCUGGAUGCUCCUCCAGCUUCUCGCUCAACCCACUGGAUUAUCCUGAGUUCAUCUGUUCUACCAGACUGUCAACU